rnacentral:misc_RNA from 1 species
CAUGCUUGUGCAUCGAACUGUCGAAUGGCGAUCUCAUCAAUCCAAAGCUCAUAUGCGUGCUUUCGCAUUAUGUGCAAAGUUUGAGUUCCUGUGUUGCAUACCCACGGAAGUGGAAAUCGAUUGCGUUGUGAUUCGACUUUCACCUCAUGCCUGUUAAGGGCAUGAGAUGAACUUGUAAGCAUCUCUUGUGUUCCAAAAUCGUUGAUUCAACUGUUCUGGUGCAUUAGAAGGUCGCUCGUGAUUUGGGAUGCGGAAAUCCUUUUGUGGCCGAGGGAUCGGAUCCCUCAAUCGCUCGAAAUGUCCCUAUUUACAAACGACAUGCAGCCCUUGUUUUUGGUCCUUGGCAAGCCACGAUGUUGGUGUGCUGGGGAUCGGUGCGGGUGCUGAUGCCGUGAAGGAAUGC